UGCCGAGUAGUGUAAUGGUAGCACUAGAGACUUUGAAUCUCUCAGUUCAGGUUCGAGCCCUGGCUCGGCAGCCA
rnacentral:tRNA from 1 species